rnacentral:rRNA from 1 species
ACAAAAUCGUGUCGGUGGAUCAUCGGUUCAUAGGUCGAUGAAGAGCGCAGCUAACUGCGAUAAGUAAGGUGAAUUGCUAAGCAGAGCCUUAAAUUCUUGAAUGCAAAUGGCGUUAAUAGUAUUUUAUACUAUUAACAUAUAUAAUUGAGGGUG